UGACCCGGGUAUAUAAAUCACCUAAAAACCUAAAUUCCUGUGGCCUCAAUAUUUUCCUUCACUGGUUCACACCGAAACCCUAGCCUCCGUCUUCUUCUGCCAUCUGAGAGGUUCUACAAUCUUUUCUUUGCUAAAACCCUAGAUAUCUCUACUACUGUGCUUCCUCAGAUCAUAUUGGAUAUUCAAAAAUUUCUCUUCAUCUCAAUCACCAUCGAUUAUGUGGAUUUGAGGUCAUAAUUUCAUCGAAAAACUAAUGUUUUGUUGUAAUUCUUCUCUACUUGCAGACAUCCAACACGGAUUUUACAUGAAGAUCUGAAAACUAGGACAAAAUGCCCUAGCCGCCCCUUCAGCUUAUACGGCUAGGGUUCCGGUCAUUAGUCAUCCGUUUUUCGCUUUAGAAUCCAUGGUGUUUAGGUAUCCCCAAAUUAUUGUUUGUUAUAUUGAUUUUUAUUGUUUGCAAAUAGUGUGUUUGUUGGUUUGUGAUCUUAUAACCAGUACCCAAAGGAUAAAGAUUGAAAAUUUAUGUGUAUUGUUUGAUAAUUGAGGGUUUUUCAAAACCUGGAUAUGAUCAUUCUUUUCCAUAGAUGUUCCAAUACUGUUUCCAAGAUACGGUAUUAAUGGCCAAAACUGAAUAUGAGUAUCACAUAAUUCUGAUUUUUUUUGGGUAUGGAUUUUGAGUUUUAUACCUUUUCAAUAUGCUUUCACAUUCUUUUCCAUGCCAGACUAUUUUAUUUUACUAUAUUACUAGAUUACUAGAGUAAAAAGUGUGUCUUUGACUAUAUAAUUUAAAGUACGGGAAUCUACUGGGGUUUGUAUGCAAGUUCAGGGACACAAUGAUGCAUUUGCCUUAGAAUUGUUGGUAUCGUGAAAGCAACAGGUAUGAUAAAUUUAACAAACUUAUCAUCUUGGUUAUACACGCAUAUUUCGUAUUCAUUUUGUUUUCUUUUUUAUGAAAUAAGAAUUUAAUAUUUGUGGAAUGAUGGCAGCUUUGGUCAGCCUUUGGUUCAUCCUCAGUUUCUUGAGCAAGCAAGGAUGCCUUUGCCACUUGAAAUGGCGCAAGAGCCUGUUUACGUGAAUGCCAAAAAAUACCAUGCGAUAUUAAGGCGAAGGCAAUCCUGUGCAAAAGUAGAGCUUGAGAAGAAACUUAUAAAAGACAGAAAGCCUUAUCUUCAUGAAUCACGGCAUCAGCAUGCUAUGACAAGGGUAAGGGGCUCCGGUGGUCGUUUCAAAGGAAACUGACGUUAAUAAGAACACAACAGGUUCGGGUUCAAGUUCUACCAUGUCAUCAUCCCAGUCGGUGAAUUCAAACCGGGUGCACUUGAGCAAUGGAAAAGUAAAGCGGUUACUCAAGGUAUGUUAAUUUAUGCUAACAUUAUCUGUCAUGCAUUAAUGAUUAAUGGAUCAAGUUUACCAAACGGAAUGGUUUCUUCUUCUAAAAGCAAGUUCGAUGAUAAAAUAGAAGCAUCUUAUGCUAAAACGUAUUUCCAUUACUACGGGCAACUGCUUCAUCAGCAAAAUAUGAUGCAGGAUUAUGUGAGAACAGGUAAAGACGGGUCGCUUGGGUUGAUCAAAAGUCCUUUUGUCUAAAACGGGUAUACAAGGAAGAGGCUAUUAAAGGCAAGGAGAUAUACAAUAGCGAAAUGACGCAUUACAAAUUGUUAAUAUAGAUAACUUUCUCGAGCCCGGGAAGCAAUCCCAGCUGAGUACUCUACCUUCUCUGGAAUCAAGAAAGGAGCAGUUCUUCAGGAAGCUAGGGUCGUUAAUGAUCCUCAGUUGGAUUCAAGGAGGUGUUCUCAGGUUAUCACAAACCUGCUUAAUCUCUUGAAUAAAGGUGAUACCUUCACAAAUGUCAGAUCAUGUUUUAUAAACUGUCCAGAUGCUUUAUAAGUUUAUUUAUAUCUCACACGUUAAUAUGUCAAUUUCUUUAUAUGAUUUUCAUUAUAGAUUAGUCAUUAAUAAUUAAUAUAUAGAACUAAUGUGCAUUUGGUUAAUAAUUAAUAUAUAGAACUAACGUGCAUUUGGCUGAGAUCACUGUGUAUUAUAAUGACCUUAAAUGGUUCUAUUGAAUAGGUGUACAGUGUGACGGCUUCUUAUCACAAGGUCCGCAACCAUCACAUCCGGGUAAUCGUAAGUACUACCAUUCCUACUAAGCUUUGCAAGAGGGAGUUCACUAUAGAUUUGUGGAUUUUAUUGUUUUUUAUUUGUAAAUUUUGUUUGUAAUUCAAUUUUUGUUAUUUAAUUCAAUAUGUAACUUUGUUUAUAAGAAAUUUAUUAACACAAUAAUGAAUUAUAUAUAUUAUGUUCAA